rnacentral:rRNA from 1 species
CAGUCUUACCACAGUAUCCUGUACAUAUCCAAGCUGAGUUUGGAAGCUAAGUAGGGUCGAGUCUCUUUAGUGCUUGGAUGGGAGACCAUCGGGGAAUACGAAGGGUCUCUCUGG